UCAUCUUAAGUUGAACUGUAUCUGUAAAGACCUUAUUUCCAAGUAAGGUCACAUUCACAGCUACUGGGGGAUAGGACCUCAACAUAUCUUUUUGGGGGACAUAAUUCAACUCAUAAUACCCAACAUGAUAACUGUUCAUCCCAUGAAAUUUAAUGUCUCUCAAAAGGUGAUCUCAGGGCAUUUAAUCUGUGACAGAAACUCCCAUAGGAAACAUUCCAACCAGAAGCUCCUUUCACAGCUGGUCACUCCUCCUACCCCAUCCGAGGUCCUGGGGCAGGGUGAGGCAGGUGGGGACAAGAAGAAGGCUGUCUCGGGUGUAGAAAGAGAAGACCCUUAUUCACCCGGCACUCUGUUCAUGAAUGAGCUAUCCAGCAUAGGAUAUAAUAAAUCGCUUUAGGAGUGGUAGACUCCAAACAUUUUUUUGGUCCCAGUUAUCCUAAUCAAUUAAACAAACUCUAGAACACAUCUUGAAGUGCAGGCAUUGGGACAUUAUGAAACUUACACAGAAUUCAAAAAUUUACAAGGGCUAAAUAAAACAGGGUCUGACAUCUAAUAUUUUCUUCCCACAUUCCCAUGCACUGUCUGGCUCAACCAUCCCCAACCCUCACUCUCAUCCUGGUGGACACAUGCCUAGUGAUGUGAUCAGCUGGUUCACAGGGGGCUGGUGAUGGUGGAUAUACAGCUUUUGCCAAUUUCCAUGGCAUAACUACUCCAAAUAUGGCCAAUUUCAAACUACCAACAUGAAGGCACAGACACAGAGUUUGGAAGAGAUGUUAGCAAUUGGCUAUUGCAAGCUGAUAUAAGCUAGCUCCAGCACAGCACCACCGCUACCUUUAAGCUCCUUGUGUUAGUGCAAGGGUUGGCAAACUGCAGCCUAAAGGCCAAAUACAGCUUAUUGCCUGUUUUGUGUAUUUGCCAACACAGCCAUGCUGUCUAUGGCCUUCUUUGUUCUGUAACAACAGAGCAUGUGGCAGGAUAUAUAGAAUCUGGCAGUCUUUAAUAAGUGCUGACUCCUGCUCUACAGGAGAACACAGAUUGUCUUCAGCUUCCAAACAUUCAUCUCUGAGUCAGUCUAGAGCCUGAAAUUUAGACUGAAGCACAGUUUCCACCAGAGGGCUGCAAUGCAUGAUAGUUGGGGUUUUCACCUCUCACCCAAAAGCCUACUCAAUUUUUUACUGCAAAAACAUGUUAUCAUCAUUAUUUUUUACUUAGCCCACCUUUCCUUGGCAAUUUUCCAUAGGAAAAUGCAUUCUAAAUUUCAACUAAUCAGGGGACUUGGAGCCUCUGGACACCCCCUUGUUCCUUGCCCACAGUCCCUUGCAGAAGGUGCCUUAUCAGAGCGGCUCCAUGCAGGGGCUCAGGACAGGAUCAGAUGUCAGUUGCACCAAGGGGGCAGGGACAGAUCCUCUCUGCUGACCAUGCAGAAGGGACUGUUCAGUGCACCGUCAUGGUCCUGGUGAUUUCUGGCCCAUAAGGGAAUUUUCACAUGCAUCGGGUGAUUGUCACAUCAGCACAACACUGUGAGGAAGGCAGAGUGAGAAUUUGUGUGCCCAUUUUAUAGGUGAGAAAACAGAUGCAGAGACAUUAAGUAACUUCACCACAGUCAUGCGGGUUUUAAGUGGCAGACUUUCAGGUGUUGUGACUCCUAGUCCAGAGUUCUUUGCACUGCCCCUGAGGUGCUAAAACUCUACUGUGCUUUAAGACUCACUUGGGGAGCUUCCUAAAAAGAGAGAUUGCACAACCUGAGAUUCUUGUUUAACUGUUUUGGGAUGUAGCUCAGGGAUCUAGCUGCCUUAAAAAAAAAAACUCCCAAGUAAUUCUGAUGCAAGCGGUUCUUUCUUGUCCACCUUUGAAGAAACACUGCCUCCUCCCUAUACAUUUCAUUAGAAAAUGGUAACAUGUUUUUCAGCCUGAGAGCCAUUUCUGGGUGACCGGACGUCGGCAGCCCGCUGUACUAGCUUUCAGUCUAGGCUUAAACACACAUGAUAGGAGAUGUCCUACUCCAGAUGAUAUGAGUCUGAACCAUGGAAAAAUUCCAUUGUGUGGCACAUCUGGUGGGUGUGCACUGUCCCCAGCAGUGAGGCACCCAGUGAAGACAGCAGCUGGGAGAGGCUUAGUUACAUGCAGUGGGACAGUGUGGGCUAGACUGCUGAGCCCUCUGCAGUUUACUCUGUGUCAGGCAAUGAGGGUGAAAGGCUGAUCAGACCCACGUGCAGACCAUACCCUCCAGGGAGACAGAUAUCAGUCAGGACAACCCCAAGUGUAGCUGGAGAAGCAGUGCCCAGGUAUGACCGGAUGUGUAUCCAACCAGGAAAUCUGCAUAUAAAUAUAAGAGGAGAAAAUGAACAGAUGUUGCUCUUAUAUGUAGAUAUUUAUGAAGAGCAUAUAAUUUUGUUUUGUGUGUUUUAAGAAGUUUAUAAGUAUGCCUUAAAAAUGUAUGGUAUAUACUGUAGGUAUUUUUUCCAUUAGAUAUUUUGUUUUUCAUACUUAUCCACAUUGACAUUGUAGCAACAGUAUAAUAUAACAACCUCCUCUACAAAAGCAGAAGGAAGUGAAGCUUUGGAAGGAAGCACCCAGUGAGCUUGCCCCUUUCAGGUGGGUGCAGUGAGCAGGAGUCAGUGAGGUUGAGAUCCUUUGAGAGGAGGCAGUCAUUAACCAGGAAAUCUGCACUGCAUCCUGGCCACACCUAACCCUUGGACAAUGGUGCUUGGAGCGCCUUCCAGCUCUUAAGGCUUGCGAUUUCUUUCUCUCACUCUUCACCCACGAUGAUUAAAUCUUCUCCUACAGAGUUGGACAACAAAGCCUUGAGUUCCUGCCUCCCCUGGUGUGAUCACGAGGCAUAGACAUGGCCAGGAACAUGUAGGUGUCUUUGAAAGCUGAACAAGUUAGUAAAUUUCAAACCUCAUUUCACCCACCAGUAAAAUGGGAAUAAUAAUAAACCUAUUUUACAUAGGGUUGACAAGAGGAGUAAAGAGGGAUUCAAUGAAAGUUCGUUAUUAUCAUUUGUAGUAGCAGUGUUGAUAAUAUCAACUGAAAGUUCAUUAUCAUUAUUAGUAGCAGUAUUGAUAACCCUCUUUUCUGUGCCUUCUCACUGGUGGGCCCAGGCCAUCAGCAAUGCCCAGGGUGUCAUGGAUCUCUGCUGCAUCGGGCACCAGCUGUGUCAAUGGUGAGAACAGUACAAGGGUGGGCAGGGCAAGGCAGGAAGCACCCAGGAGCAGCAGCUUCAUGGGGUGAAGAUGUCAGGAGCUUAGGGACAGUCAGAGCGGGUGUGCCUCCUCUUGUGGAGCCUUUCUGCGUGGGUAGGAACUGCUGCAGCUGUGGCCAUGGAUUCACCUGAAUAUGGGUGGAAUUAGGCAUUCAGCUGGGUUAGCUGUGCCUAGAAGGAGGAACUCUAAACUGAGAACUUGUCCCUAUUGCCACCUCUGAUAGGCAGAUGAUCCAUCCAUCAGUGGCUGAGCUGAGGUGUGCAUG
rnacentral:lncRNA from 1 species